GGGGAUGAACUGGCUUCGACGGGGAAGUUGCAGUAUCAUAAGCGAAUUGUUGUAUCCAAUCAACAUAAAAAGUGGUAAAUUAAAUAUAAACGCAGAAAAUAAUAAUUUUGCAUUAGCUGCCUAGUCAGCUAUUUGGAGUCUAUUCUUUCCCCACAAAAGUCUAAACUCUAUCAUUAAAUUCGUGGGCAACCUUUACAAAAGUUCUUAGAUUUGUAAUUGUAUUUAUAAGAUACCUUUAACUGAUUUUGUUAGUUUAUAGGUUAUUGGGAAAUUUAAAAUUGACUGUAUUCGGAGAAAGUGAUAUGAAUGCUUUUUCGGACGUGGGUUCGACACCCACCAUCUCCACCA
rfam:Parvimonas micra strain KCOM 1535, complete genome.